rnacentral:rRNA from 1 species
UUUAUUCAUGAGAGUUUGAUCCUGGCUCAGAACGAACGCUGGCGGCGUGCCUAACACAUGCAAGUUGAACGGGGUCAAU